UUCUUUACUCUUCUGUUCAACAGUGGCUUGAUAUGCAAAGAACAAGUGCUCCUCCUUGUCUUCUGUAUAAUUGGCCUGUUGGUUCUUGUUUUUGAACCGACAGUCCUUCUCUACAUGGCCAAACUUCUUGCAGUAUGUGCACUGAGGCUUUCCACGAAUGAAAACAGUCCUUUUCCAAAUGAUUGGUCUUCUUGCAGACACCACAAGGUGGAAAUUCUCCUUUUGAAGUUCCCUUUUUCUGAGAACAUUCUCCUCCUUUUGGUGUGCUUUUGGACUUCUUCUUGAAAUCUUUUUGUUUCUGGUUUUUCAGAUUAACUUUCAGCUGGAAUGCAUUUUCUAGAGAG
rnacentral:lncRNA from 1 species